ensembl:lncRNA
CUCUGCCCCCACCCGCCGAGCACCCGGAGUUAAGCUGAGAGCCGAGUUAAAACACAAAUAUUGUCUUACAGCGGGUUUAAGGCGGGGAGUCGCGUUUAAGCCUUCCUGAAUGGCACGCACGCACGCAAAGAGGAAAGAAAAAAAAAAAAGAAAAAAAAAAGAGAGAAAACCCUUCCACUCUGGAAACUGAGAGCAGGCAAAUAUCCUCCCUGCUGAAUUGCUGUUAUUAAAUAGGGGGAAACCACCCCGCAACGAGCGCGCUCCGGAGCGCGUGGUGCCUCCGAGUGCCGCGGCGCGUUGCGGGGCCGGGAGACCUGCGGGCGGGCGGGGGCCGCAGCCCCGCGGCGUUCACCUCGGCCCCGGCCCCGCCGCCACCCAGCUACCCGUAGCAUCGUGUCAAGGCCAGGGGGCAGCUGGUGCUGCCCAGACACGAGGCCCUUCUGAGCUCUCACCUGACGCCCAUACGUCCGACAUCCCUCUGCUCCCUCCUUGCCGCAGCCCGCGGGCCUAUCUCACACGGAGCAGUCCAGCUGGUGCUGCCCCAAACCGAAGGAGAUGGCGUCUUCUCCUAGCUUGCUUACACGGAGCCACAGGAGCAGUGCCACGGAACACAACCACAUUACAUCGGGGGAGGCAACCUAAUGGCCAAGUGGGGCUGCAGUCAGGGUGUACACAUUUCACCAUGUGCAGACAAACUUGUGUAGUGUAUUAAAGUCUAUGGCCAUUUUAAUCUCUUAUGGAGGGGGGGGGGGGGGAGCAAGGUUUAUGUGAAUUCUUUAAUUAGACAUGAAAUUGCCCUGCAAAGACAGUAAGGAAGUAUGUGGUUAUGCAACUGGAGCCCUAGAGGAAAAAGUAAACAAUUUUACUGAGAAAAACAGAUUGAAAACAAUGAUGACAUUAAGAGGGAAAUGGCUGGAGGUUUGGGCUCUCUCUUUUUUUCCCCUUCCCUUUUGAAGCCUAAGAACAUCUGCAGGUCAUCUUCAACUUGGUCCCUCUUUGGUGUUGCUCAGUAUGUACUGCUUCAGUACCGUGGUCAUUCUUGACUGGAACUUGGUACACAGCUCUGUACAGGAGCUCCAGCAUUAGGAGCCAUAGCAUCAGCACUUUUCUCGUUCGCUAAGGGAAUGCAUCUCAUCUGAGCCAAACCCUUUUUUUAUGCCAAAUUUUUGCAAGUUAUUUAACAUGCCUAGAAGCCCCAAACCCACCAUGGUGUGCUGCUGAAAGGCAGCUGGCAUAACCAAGCGCCUGGCCUUGCACAUACCAUGGCUCUGGGACCACCACCGGGCAGCUUGGUUCCCAGGGCUGCGCUGGGCGUGGGGUGUCCUUUGUGUAGCACCAGGCUCUGGCUUACAACAUCGUGCCCAGCCCUCCCUGGCAUACCCUGCUAGGUUAAGCAAGGCGACUUGGCUAGUUUGGCAAAGGGAAUAAAGCCCUUAAAAAUGUGAUGUGGUGAGAUAGCAUUAAAAUCCAGGAUGUGUGCCUUCAAGAGUCAAGGACAUAGCUUAAAACAAAACAAAACAAAAUUAAAAAAAAAAAAAAAGCGAGAAGAAUAGGAAGAGAAGGCACACCAUGUGAUUGUAAGUUACUGAGAAGGAACUUCACAUGUGAGCUGAGGAAAUGCAGCAUUGUAAACGUGCUAUUUAUAUAGUGCUGAAAGUGUACUUUUACAGGGACAUAAACACUCUUCACUCCAGUGCAUAUAAUCUGCCCUUCUGAAGCAGAUCAAGACAGUGCCCUGUUAGAGCCGAUUCAAUCUAAGGUCAAAAACCAAAUAAAUCUCAACUUUGAGAAACUUCAAACCAAAAUUUGGUCUGGGCCGAAGUCAUUCGACUGGACCAAGCCUUUCCCAUAACAAAAAUGAUCCUCCGAAUACUGAAGGUAAGAUCUGUAAGUAGGGACUGUGACCACUUCUGUUGUUGUUAAACUUUUUUUUUUUUUUUUUUUUUUUUUUUAAGCUGUAUCAUACAGAUUCGGGAGGAAAAAGUGAAAAAGAAUACAAAACUUUAUACAAGCUUUAACUUCAGGGAAGGUACUCAGGCAGAAUAUAAUUAGCAAAGCACUUUGGCUGUCUUCCAGCUGCACGCAACACCAUACUCUUGUAAAAGAGCACCCAAGGAUUUUGAAUGACCACAAAUAAUGCAAUCAUGUUAACCUUAUGUAAAACCAGACAUGCACUUAACUACCCUGAAAUCAUUUCAUUCACUAUGUUAGCACAGCUGUCCAUGAUGUGGAUAUCAGACAGAUAGCAGUAUUUAUUCUACCAUUUGACUCUCUCCUGCUUGAUUUUUUACAAUAAAUAGGUCUUUUUUUUUUUUUUUUUAGCCUGAACUGAAUUUUAAUUGCAAAAGAUCAUGAGAUUUAAAGAACAACAAAUGCAGCCAUUUGUAGAGCAUGCAUGCUGAGGUCCAAGAUCUACUUCUGUUUCUCCCCUUGUCUUCAGCUCUUACAUGACCCAAUCAUGAAGAAAAGAUGUCAAAUGCCACCAGCACCAGCUGGAGAGCAUCUUGGUUGAACCCUGGUCUGAGUUUAUGUGAGAGGUAGCCCCAAGCCAGCCCACCAGCAUGGAAAUAGACCAGCAAGUAAAAUGUUACUGUGAGGAGAGCGAGGACUGCUUCAAAUCAGACAGAGCUUGCCAGAACAUAAUGGUGGCUUGUAACACAGCUAAUCAUGCCGAAUAAAACAGAGCCUUAAAUACAUUCAGGACUAGAUUCUCAAUGGACCCUUCCAUUUAGCAUGUGGCAUCAAUUUUUUUUUUCCCUAACCAACUGUAUUUGGUACCACAAGGGAUGGUUAAUACAAUUUCAAAAAAAAAAAUUCAAAAAAUAUGAAUAAAUAACCAUAAGUUGUUUACACAAAUAAACAUUCCAGGACGUGGGAUUUUAUUCAGUAAUUGCCAUAUUGGUCAUAAAACAUGCCUGAAAACCCAAAGUACUACUUUAUUGCAUUUAGCAGCAACAAUUAGCCUCUCAAUUUUUCACUGUUUUAACAGACAUGAUGGCUUUCUACUGUGAGAAUAGGCUAAAAAAAUAAGCAACGAACAAACACAACCAAAAAGCAGGCUCUUCUGUACAACCAUACGCUCCAUAGGCUUACACGCAAAAAGCCUGAGCUGUGUUUCAUGAGGCAAAAGAAAUAAACGGGCGGCAGACCAUUUUCCUUCCUACAUGAGGCACUAUCUAGAGGAGAGGGAGCAGCGAGGAGUUUUGUUGCAAGGCUCUCUCAGAUGUACCACAGGCAAUUCCUUGCUGCUGAGGACCAGAAUAAGGGCAAAAGUGGAAACAAUAGGAAAAGGUACAGUCCUUAAUGCAUCACUUGCUCUAUUCCAUUGUCCACGAAACAACAGAAGUGAUGGUUGGACAUGAUGACCUUAGAAAUCUUCUCCAACUUUAAUGAUCCUAUGAAUUUUUACACUGAACCAUUUCUGUAAAACAGAGAGCAUAAGUUUUGCAAGAGGGGGGUGUUUGUGAGCUGGAACAUUUUUUCUUUGCAGAAGAUUAAUCAAGAUAAAUAAGUCAUUUGGAAACGCUUGUAGUAGAUAUUCAGGUAGACACCUGAAGCCACCACAAGGCACAAAGUCACAUCAAGAGGACUCACUUUAUGUAGACUCUUGCAGGUUCAAGACAAGAGAAGUACAGCUGUGACAGAAACUGGGGGAUUCCACUCAGGUGAACUGCAGAUGUGAGCAAAGAUACACAUAACUGAUGCAGCACAGUUACCUCGCAAUUUGGAUAAUUAACCCAUGGGUAAUCAAGUAUUGAUGGCAUUGCACUAACUGCAGAAACUAUGUCCUAGGAACAUUACUGGGAAUAUCCAUCCUGUGUUUUCACCUCCUAGAAGUCCGAUUUGGACAGCUGACUGACCUACUUCCAGCAUGUCACUGUUCCCAGCACACCAACCCCUAUCCCUAAACACAUGGUUGCUUCCAGCAAGGGAGAGAAAAGGAGGACUGGGCUACAGAUGUUCCUCGCGCAUACAAUCAACACGGCCCUCCCCCACCAAAGUUUAAUAAGGAUUGUUAGUACAUCAUUGUAGCUGGUAAUUGUGUAGGUACACAUGGUAAUUGCAUGUAUUUGCACUAAUUAUGUAAAUGCACAAUAAUUAAAGCUCCAGGGUUUUCAUGGUAAAUUUUUAAAACACUCAUGGAUUUGUCAUGGCAAAAGUGUCAGUCAUGUAACCUAGUGGGGAAGAAAAGGAGGAGGAGGCUCAGGAGUGCACACUUCUUAAAUAAAAACAGACAUUUUUGCAUGAGUAACUGGAGAGGGGAUACCAUUUUAUCAUCAAACAGAACUGUCAUGCCUGGGUACAACUUCUUUCAGACUCUCUUAUCAGUUAGAAUAAUAAUAAUUAAAAAUUAAAAAAAAAAAAUUGGUUUUCAUGGUAGGUCAUUGCUAAUGCUCAAAUACUCCCUGCCUUCUAUCCUGGCUUUCCCCACCCACCCUGCACUGCAGGUCUCAGGGCUUCCCUCUGCUCUGUGCUGCAGGGAUGAGCAAGCCUCUGCUUGGCGGGCAUGGAGGGGCCUGGGCAGUUCAGUGCUCCUUAACAACUGCAGCCGCAGAAGGAAAGGGAGCUUUGCAAACACACAGCAUGCAUCUCACUGCGAGGCAUGCAGACAAGCAGCGUAGCUGGUGUUCAGCCUCAUUGGCCACCGUACAGCUCCCUGAGCAGCCCUACUGUGCCAUGCUGGGCUCACAGGUCCUGCUCAGUGGGCAGUAUGACAGAGAGCUGUGACAUGGAGCACCAACUAGAUGUUUCACACUAAAAGCUGGCUGCUCCAAAACACACUGUGUGAGGUUUUAAUCCCUUCAGCCACAUGCUCCUUUUAUGGGUGAUACCUGCACUCAUGACACUUGCAUCCACUGGGAAGGCACCAACCUGACUUGUGCUUAAGCAGAAAUAUUCUUCCCUGUGCCACCUCAUUGCAGGUGUUCUUGUUGGCCCACACAGCACCUCUGCAGGAUUGCUUACUCAUACACAGCUUCCUCAGGACCGUUGCAACCAAGAGCCAGUACAAGAGCUUUAAGCUACCGAGGCCAAAUACCUAAAGACAAGACACAAAGGGGAGCUUCCUUGGGAUUUACAACACAGCUUUAAGAGGAUUUGGGGGACACACAGCCACACAGUUAUUUAUGUAAACCUAAGUCUAUAUACGUGGAUCAAAAAACUCCACAUACAUGGCAACUACUUUCAUUAUGCCCCAGCACAUUCCAUAUCGUUCAGGUGUUGUUUUCUUUUAGUCAUUUCUUUGAAGACACUUUAAAAAAAAUCAAAGCUAAAUUAAAACAAAACAUAAAACUAUAUGAUAAAAACUGAACAAAUCUAGUGAUACAAAAGUUAUGUUAAAAGCAGAUUUUAAUUGCUGGCGUCCAAUUAAACAAGAGAAGCUACCUUGUAUAGUGACUAUUUUCUACUUCAUUUCUAAGAAUGGACAUAUUUUCAGGAUUUUUUUUUUUAUUUCCUAUGGUGUUAAGAAUGUCUGUAUCCAUGCCUGAUAGAGAUUAAAGAAAGCAAAGCAUCAUCUUAAACUUUUGGAUUUGCGGAAACAUGUUUGUUAAUGCACUGAGAAUCUUGAAGGAGUACAGGAGGAUUUCACACAACUAACUGUACUCCUUCUGAUAAUAAAUAAAUAAACGUUGCUAAAACAGUGAUCUGUUGAAUUAAUUUCCUUUAGUUUUACAAUAAAUUCAUCUGUUCCUCAGGUAAUGGGUAGAGGGUGUCUAAAAUUCUUUAAAUACAGGGUUUGUGUUCAGGACUGGAAAGCAGCUGAGUUGGGUUAUCUGUCUGUAGGGAAUUGUCCAUCUGUCUGUAGGGAAUUUAUUUUGGCUUGUUUUUGUUGUACAGCAGCAUUGUGAGGCUAAGUUAGUGCUUUAAUUUUUGUUAAUGCAGGACCAAAGGUCUUUCAGAUGUUUAUGUCUAGUGGCAGCUCGUAUCAUAAAUACUUGCUUCCAGCAUCAUGACUACACAGACUGAGUAAGCCUUCAAUCCAGCAAGGUCCCUCAGACUUGGUGCUUCUUCACAUGCCACACAAAUAUGCUUACUCAGGCAGGAAAAAAAUGCCUAAUUUAUGAGAAGUGUUUUGGUUCAUCAGAUUUGCAAAAGCAGUUUGGUGGUACAGCUGACAUUCAGAUUCCUUCGCAAGAAGAGUUGGAAGGUUGUCCUUUCUGAAAGUCAUGUCCAUGGUGUCUCAAGUUGAUAGCAUGAGCAUGAAAACACCUGCAGUUAACAGUGGGCCUAUUUCCUACUUCUGUGUGAUUCUUUUGGUCUGCAUGAACAAUAUGAAAAAAUAUUGUUAAAUAUAAGUUGAUCUAAAUAAAUACAAAUAUAUGCUUAUUGAUAUGUAUCACAAGAGGUGUUUGUGUAAUGAACUGAUUGGUCUGAGAUCCUAGCAUGAGCAAUUCUGACACAAAUGGCAACUUGGUGCUGACUGUUGGGACACACGAAGGUGUCCUUUGCUGAAUAUUUGCUACCAGAACAUCUAGGAAUGGAAGAUAUUCUUGGAAAUCUAGGCAAUGGGAUUUGCUCAAAAAUCCAUGGCAAAUACAUGACCAGAACCUGUACCUGAACCUGUUCCUGACUCGUGAGCUGAACUGGCAGGUGCCCUGUUCCAACAAGCCAGCCACAGUACAGGUGUAUUUUAAAUCACUGUGCUGAGUCAUUCUCAUUUAAAUGUAGGCUAAACCACCUGAGUGUACUGUCCUUGCUAACCUCCACAAACUCACUGUAAAGUUUUCCCUCUACAGAGCAGACAAAGCCCAUUGGCUUCAUCCCUCAUGUGAGCCACAGCCAGGCAGCUAUUGCCUAUUUGCUGCAUCACGAUAUAUGAUUACAGACA